rnacentral:rRNA from 1 species
GAAGUGCGGCGUGCUAAUACAUGCAAGUCGAGCGAAUGGAUUAAGAGCUUGCUCUUAUGAAGUUAGCGGCGGACGGGUGAGUAACACGUGGGUAACCUGCCCAUAAGACUGGGAUAACUCCGGGAAACCGGGGCUAAUACCGGAUAACAUUUUGAACUGCAUGGUUCGAAAUUGAAAGGCGGCUUCGGCUGUCACUUAUGGAUGGACCCGCGUCGCAUUAGCUAGUUGGUGAGGUAACGGCUCACCAAGGCAACGAUGCGUAGCCGACCUGAGAGGGUGAUCGGCCACACUGGGACUGAGACACGGCCCAGACUCCUACGGGAGGCAGCAGUAGGGAAUCUUCCGCAAUGGACGAAAGUCUGACGGAGCAACGCCGCGUGAGUGAUGAAGGCUUUCGGGUCGUAAAACUCUGUUGUUAGGGAAGAACAAGUGCUAGUUGAAUAAGCUGGCACCUUGACGGUACCUAACCAGAAAGCCACGGCUAACUACGUGCCAGCAGCCGCGGUAAUACGUAGGUGGCAAGCGUUAUCCGGAAUUAUUGGGCGUAAAGCGCGCGCAGGUGGUUUCUUAAGUCUGAUGUGAAAGCCCACGGCUCAACCGUGGAGGGUCAUUGGAAACUGGGAGACUUGAGUGCAGAAGAGGAAAGUGGAAUUCCAUGUGUAGCGGUGAAAUGCGUAGAGAUAUGGAGGAACACCAGUGGCGAAGGCGACUUUCUGGUCUGUAACUGACACUGAGGCGCGAAAGCGUGGGGAGCAAACAGGAUUAGAUACCUUGG